rnacentral:tRNA from 2 species
AGCUCAGCUGGGAGAGCAUCUGCCUUACAAGCAGAGGGUCAUAGGUUCGAGCCCUAUA